rnacentral:rRNA from 1 species
GCAAGUCGAACGAAGUAGCAAUACUUAGUGGCAGACGGGUGAGUAACAUGUGGGUAUCUACCCUUUGGCCUGGAAUAACACGAGGAAACUUGUGCUAAUACCGGAUAAGUCUUUACGGAGAAAGCUUUAUGCACCAUUGGAUGAGCCCGCACUUGAUUAGUUUGUUGGUGGGGUAAUGGCCUACCAAGGCAGUGAUGGGUAGCUGGUUUGAGAGGAUGAUC